GCAACUCUCAUAAAAUCUACUUCUUAUCAGUGUCAUCAAUUGGGAUGGCAGAUUUUAUUUCUGUACUGUGCCUGAUUGGUGUUGUGGGUGGUGCUUUUCUAUCUGACCAUUUCCUUGUCUGAGUGCCAUUUCUGCAGUUNAGCUGCUUGUUAGCGGAGAGAUUGUUACAUGACACAUGAAAAUUUUACAAUUCACUGGAGAUAAUGCAUUGCAACUAUUGUUAACAAUGGUUUAGCCCUGUGACCAAGGCAUCAAGUGUGAGUGUGCCAGGUCAUCUGCUAAAAUACUGAAGAU
rnacentral:misc_RNA from 1 species